UACGGAGGGGGCUAGCGUUGUUCGGAAUUACUGGGCGUAAAGCGCACGUAGGCGGCUUUGCAAGUCAGAGGUGAAAGCCUGGUGCUCAACACCAGAACUGCCUUUUAGACUGCAUCGCUUGAAUCCAGGAGAGGUGAGUGGAAUUCCGAGUGUAGCGGUGAAAUUCGUAGAUAUUCGGAGGAACACCAGUGGCGAAGGCGGCUCACUGGACUGAUAUUGACACUGAGGUACGAAAGCGUGGGGAGCAAACAGG
rnacentral:rRNA from 1 species